rnacentral:tRNA from 1 species
AAGCCCAUAAUUUAAUUGGUUAGAAUAAUUUUUUGAUGAGAAAUCAGUAGAAGUUCAAAUCUUCUUGGGCUUA